UUCGUACUGUGCAAUCACCAAUGAAUUUGAGGGGGAAAUACUUGCACCAUCCUUUUCUUUCUGACAAUGUUGUUCGCUAUUCAAAGGAUUUUUGAAUAUGUCUUUUUUUCAAACUAAGCAGUAAUCAAACCCACUCUGAUUUUGAGUUGUCGUGUUGAAAUUCAAAAGAAUCUAUAACAUAUCGUGUAUAAUAUUCUUAAUGAUUAUGUCCUAAUAUUUGAAUCUCAAGAAAUUAAGAAACUUCUCUUAUUUCGUGUAAUUCAAAAUUGUAAGAGGUUUUCGAAUGUUAGUAACAACCAUCUUUAAGUUUUCUUUCUUCUCGAAUUUGAAAUUACGAUUGAGAUUCAUUUGAGUAGUGACUUUCUUUUUUUAUUUGGAAAAUUCAAAGAAAAAUAUUCUACUCGGAAAUUUAUGGAUUCACUACUUAAGAGUUCCCAGUAUAUGAGAUAAAUUGUGAUAUGAUUCCUAUUUUAGCAAUUGUACUAAUCAUAUCCUCAAGAGACGAGCCUUUCCUAUCACAUGUGCUCUUUACAAGCCCCUAAGGUUCACCUCUCCCCUUCACCAGCUUACAUCUACCGUCCUUUCAGCCCUUCGUGACAAAUUUGCUGCUUCUAAAAUAGAAACAAACAUUUACCUCUUAUAGUAUCCAAUCACAUAUCAAAAGCACAUCUUUUGUGUCACCCUUUUUGGCUUGGAUUUAGGGAGAAGAUGAUAUGUCAAAAGUGGAGUCCUUAGCAUAAGCUAGGGAAGCAAGGCUAGUCAAGAAAUAAUUUAAGGAGACAGCAGCAGAGGCAUUUUGUCCUGUUGGAUAGGUAAGUGGAGAAAAGGCGGCAAAUGGCAACAAAAAAGUCAUCAAAAGUGAGUCUGCGGAAUUAGGAGACACACCACCCCAUCACGCAGUCAGCUAUGCAUGUCGACUUGAGGUCGAGGGUCGAGAUUUUCAGGUAACGCCUUGUUUAAAUAUUUCAUCCUUUCU